AUACGGAGGGUGCAAGCGUUAUUCGGAAUCACUGGGCGCAAAGGACGCGUAGGCGGGUUGGCAAGUCAGAUGUGAAAUCCUACAGCUUAACUGUAGAACUGCAUUUGAAACUGCUAACCUAGAGUAUGGGAGGGGGAGAUGGAAUUAGUGGUGUAGGGGUAAAAUCCGUAGAUAUCACUAGGAAUACCGAAAGCGAAGGCGAUCUCCUGGAACAUAACUGACGCUAAGGCGUGAAAGCGUGGGGAGCAAACAGGAUUAGAAACCCUAGUAGUCC
rnacentral:rRNA from 1 species